rnacentral:rRNA from 1 species
UACGAGGGGGGCGAGCGCUGUUCGGAAUUAUUGGGCGUAAAGGGUGCGUAGGCGGCCUGACAAGUCUGAUGUGAAAUCCCUGGGCUCAACCCAGGGCCUGCAUCGGAAACUGUCGGGCUUGAGUAUGGGAGAGGUGAGUGGAAUUUCCGGUGUAGCGGUGAAAUGCGUAGAUAUCGGAAGGAACACCUGUGGCGAAAGCGGCUCACUGGACCAUUACUGACGCUGAGGCACGAAAGCUAGGGGAGCAAACAGG